GAUGAACGCUGGCGGCGUGCCUAAUACAUGCAAGUCGAACGAGGUGCUUUUGUAGCAAUACGGAGGUAUCCUAGUGGCGAACGGGUGAGUAACGCGUUGGUGACCUACCCCAAAGUGUGGGAUAACAGUCCGAAAGGAUUGCUAAUACCGCAUGUGGUCAUCGGGUUUAGAAACCGAUGUCUAAAGCAGCAAUGCGCUUUGGGAGGGACCUGCGUCCCAUCAGCUAGUUGGUGAGGUAACGGCCCACCAAGGCGACGACGGGUAGGGGACCUGAGAGGGUGACCCCCCACAAUGGAACUGAAACACGGUCCAGACACCUACGGGUGGCAGCAGUAGGGAAUAUUGCUCAAUGGGCGAAAGCCUGAAGCAGCAACGCCGCGUGCGCGAAGAAGGCCCUCGGGUCGUAAAGCGCUUUUCUGAGAGAUGAGAAAGGACAGUAUCUCAGGAAUAAGUCUCGGCUAACUACGUGCCAGCCGCCGCUGUAAUAC
rnacentral:rRNA from 1 species